UACAGAGGGUGCAAGCGUUAAUCGGAAUUACUGGGCGUAAAGGGCGCGUAGGCGGUUGUGCGAGUGUGGUGUGAAAGCCCCGGGCUUAACCUGGGAAGCGCAUCGCAAACGGCAUGACUAGAGUAGAUGAGAGGGUGGCGGAAUUUCCGGUGUAGCGGUGAAAUGCGUAGAGAUCGGAAGGAACGUCAAUGGCGAAGGCAGCCACCUGGCAUCAUACUGACGCUGAGGCGCGAAAGCGUGGGGAGCGAACAGG
rnacentral:rRNA from 1 species